GCCCUGUGGUUGCUGGAGGCUGUUGUGCAGGUACAGUUCUCCAGUGGAUACAAUGGGCUAGAAAAACCCUGUGAUUUAUGCAUGGGAGCUGUUUUCUUCUCAGCAGCUGCCAUAGCCCGGUCACUGGUACAUUG